ACCUGGGUGGCUUAGUCGGUUAAGCGUCUGACUUUGGCUCAGGUCAUGAUUUCACAGUUUGUGAGUUCGAGCCCCGCAUCGGGCU
rnacentral:tRNA from 1 species